rnacentral:rRNA from 1 species
UACGUAGGGCGCAAGCGUUGUCCGGAAUUAUUGGGCGUAAAGAGCUCGUAGGCGGUCUGUCACGUCUGCCGUGAAAACCCGAGGCUUAACCUCGGGGCUUGCGGUGGAUACGGGCAGACUAGAGGUAGGUAGGGGAGAACGGAAUUCCCGGUGUAGCGGUGAAAUGCGCAGAUAUCGGGAGGAACACCGAUGGCGAAGGCGGUUCUCUGGGCCUUACCUGACGCUGAGGAGCGAAAGCAUGGGGAGCGAACAGG